GCCCGAGUGAUGACCGAUCUUAUUGGGCCUAAAGCGUCCGUAGCUGGCUGCGCAAGUCCGUCGGGAAAUCCACUCGCCCAACGAGUGGGCGUCCGACGGAAACUGCACAGCUUGGGACCGGAAGGCUCGAAGGGUACGUUCGGGGUAGGAGUGAAAUCCCAUAAUCCCGCACGGACCACCGAUGGCGAAAGCACUUCGAGAAAACGGAUCCGACAGUGAGGGACGAAAGCCAGGGUCUCCAACCGGAUUAGAUACCCGGGUAGUCCUGGCUGUAAACAAUGUUCGCUAGGUAUGACACAGACUACGUGUCUCUGUUGUGCCGUAGGGAAGCCGAGAAGC
rnacentral:rRNA from 1 species